rnacentral:misc_RNA from 1 species
GAUGAAGAACGCAGCGAAAUGCGAUAAGUAAUGUGAAUUGCAGAAUUCAGUGAAUCAUCGAAUCUUUGAACGCACAUUGCGCCCGCCAGCAUUCUGGCGGGCAUGCCUGUUCGAGCGUCACUUCAACCCUCGACAUCCCCUUGGGGAAGUCGGCGUUGGGGACCGGCAGCACACCGCCGGCCCCGAAAUUGAGUGGCGGCCCGUCCGCGGCGACCUCUGCGUAGUAAUCCAACCUCGCACCGGAACCCCGACGUGGCCACGCCGUAAAACACCCAACUUUCUGAACGUUGACCUCGGAUCAGGUAGGAAUACCCGCUGAACUUAAGCAUAUCAAUAAGCGGAGGA